AAAGGAAUUGACGGGGGCCCGCACAAGCGGCGGAGCAUGUUGCUUAAUUCGAGGCAACGCGAAGAACCUUACCUGGGCUUGACAUGCAGGGAAAAGCCGUAGAGAUACGGUGUCCUUCGGGGCCCUGCACAGGUGGUGCAUGGCUGUCGUCAGCUCGUGUCGUGAGAUGUUGGGUUAAGUCCCGCAACGAGCGCAACCCCCGUCCUAUGUUGCCAGCGGGUAAUGCCGGGUACUCAUAGGAGACUGCCGGGGUCAACUCGGAGGAAGGUGGGGAUGAGGUCAAGUCAUCAUGCCCCUUAUGCCCAGGGCUGCAAACAUGCUACAAUGGCCGGUACAAUGGGCUGCUAAACCGUGAGGUGGAGCGAAUCCCAAAAAGCCGGCCUCAGUUCGGAUCGGGGUCUGCAACUCGACCCCGUGAAGUCGGAGUCGCUAGUAAUCGCGGAUCAGCAACGCCGCGGUGAAUACGUUCCCGGGCCUUGUACACACCGCCCGU
rnacentral:rRNA from 1 species